rnacentral:tRNA from 1 species
UUAAUGAAGUAAUUAAAUUUCAGUUUCUACCUGAAAAAAGAUUAAUAUUAUAAUCUUACUUCUAUA